GUAGAUAUCUUUCAACGUUACAGUACAGCUCAACAAGGAAACACUGUCCGAGGAAACACAAAGAGGGUGAAUGAGAUGUAAAUGAUGUGAUAUUGAUGUUGAUCGUCAUGCUGCAAGCUGAAGACGAAUUUCUACUUUUGUGCAACUAACAUUAGUCAUUCAACAUUUUGAAAUAGCGUAAUUGUAAACCAGGUGGCAAAUUUGGUUUGUAAAGUGUUUUUUUAUAGUUGUAGACAAAGCUUUGAGGAAGACUUCAGAUGAAGAAGGAUUGCUUGUUCCCUGUUGCUGUUGGAGAGGAACUGACGGCUGCUGCUACAGAACCUCCUGGACAACUUUCAGUAUUUAAUUUCACAAUUAAAGACAAUUAAAGGACGUCUUUGGAUUCCUACUCAAAGAGACACUUAUUUUUUCAUCUGAAAACCGUUUCGGAUCUACCAGUCCAUGGACUCAGAAGGGACUCUUUAAGGGCAACAUAAUACAUUUCCAGGUUGAACCAGUUAUUGUAAAUGUUAAUGUCAUGAAGCCAAUUAUUUGAAGAUACUGAUUUGUUACCAGGAUUCAAUUUGUUUUGCAUCUAUUAUGAUCCAUUUCAUUUUAAUAGAAGUGUUAGUUUCCUUUAUUUCAUGUCUAUAAAAUGUGUAAAAUAGUAGGAUAAAGAUAUUCUGUGAUUAUCUGAAGUAUAAUAAGAAUAGCUCUGCUCCAGUCUAGUAGCUCAUACAAAUAACUGGAUAUAGUUAGUAAACUGCUACCAGACCCUCAAUAAAUUCUCCUGAGUUGUUACAGUCA